UGACGUCAUUUCCACGCGACACAACAGGAGCACGCAUGCGCAAAGAAGAGGUCGCGCUUCCAUUUUUUGUGGAAAAAACAGUAGCUAGGUACGAAGCUAGCUAAAGAAAUAUAAUAAACUCCAGUUGUAGUCUUGACUUAGGAAGGUUAAUUACUAUAGUACUGUAUAUAUAGCGUCACAGGUAUAUAUUUAUUUGAUAGAAUGAUCUAGAAAAUGAUUUUAUAACCGAGGAAGUUGAAUGCGGCAUCGGCUAGUGUUAGCAUCAUUAGCAGGAAGAGGCCACACCACACACUCGCUUUCACUUUGGUGAGGAACAGUUCCGUCCGGAGCGCAGAUGGACGGAGAGGAGGAUUUUUCAGGGAAUCACUCAGAUGAUGGUAGUGGCACGCCUGUGCAGGACGAACACGCGAUGGCGUCCGACGCCGAAGACGAGAGAGCAGAAUCGCGCCACUCCGAGGACGAAGGCAGUGACAGAGAAGGUCCCGCCUCCAGUCCAGCGGCUCCUGCGGAUGAUAGCGAAUCAGAACACGAGGACAGAACAGGGGGAGGAGCCAAUAGCGGAGGUGAUGAUGAUGAUGAUGAUAAUAAUGAUGAUGAUGGGGAUGAAGGCUCUCCUCGUAAGCGUAGAGGAAGCACGUCAGAGACAGAGGAUCACCACAAAGAGCAGGACAGCGAAUCAGAACACGAGGAGCCGCAAAAGGGGCGGAGCCAUCACUCAGACUCGGACGAAUCGGGCGGCGAGAAGGCGAAACGGAGAGACUCGGGCGGCGAGGAGCGGAGGAGCGACGGCGGAGAGGGGCGGAGGAGAGCUGUGAUACGCUCCGACAGCGAGGAAGAGGAGGACAGGAAGCCUAAAGAUGAAGCAGGAAGUGAGCAGGAAGAAGGGCGAGCUCAGAACAUCCGCUCUGACAGCGAGGAUGAGGACGAGCAGCCAGUGAAGAGGAAGAAAGCGAUUCUCUCCGACAGCGAGGACGAAGACGAACCAAAAGUGAAGAAGAGUAGGGCCGUGUCAGAUGAUGAGGAAGACUCCGGCAGUGAGGAAGGCUCUGAGGCUCCUGAUAAGACGGUCGCCGCUAAGCUCAGAGAGCUCGGCUCAGACAGCGAGGAUGAGGAGGAGAGCAGGACGAAGAUGGACGCGGGGAAAAAAGACGAGAAGACGCUGUUCGGCAGCGACAGUGACUCGGACAACGAUGAGGAAGAGAAAAUGAUAGCGGACAUCUUUGGAGAGUCGGGUGACGAGGAUGAAGAGGAGUUUACGGGCUUUAACCAGGAGGAGUUAGAGGGGGAGAAGCAGCAGUCUCAGGCUGCAGGACAGAGGAACGCGAUGGACGACUCGGACUCGGACGACAACGUGGACAGAGGGAAAGAUUUGUCCUUCAUGUCUGAUUUCGACAUCAUGCUCGCGAAGAGGAAAGCUCAAAGUGGCAAGCGGAGGCGGCACCGAGACGGAGGAACCUUCAUCAGCGACGCCGAUGAUGUCGUCAGCGCCAUGAUCACCAAGAUGAACGAAGCUGCUGAGGAGGAUCGGACGCUGAACAGUCAGAAGAAGCCGGCUCUGAAAAAGCUGAUGCUUCUGCCCACCGUCGUCAUGCAUUUAAAAAAGCAGGAUCUGAAGGAGACGUUUAUAGACAGCGGCGUGAUGACGGCGAUUAAAGAGUGGAUCAGUCCUCUUCCUGAUAAGAGUCUUCCGGCCCUGAAGAUCAGAGAGGAGCUGCUGAAGAUCCUGCAGGAGUUGCCCAGCGUGAGUCAGGAGACUCUGAAGAUGAGUGGAAUCGGUCGAGCCGUCAUGUUCCUCUACAAACACCCCAAAGAGUCGCGACCCAACAAAGACCUCGCUCUCAAACUCAUCAAUGAGUGGUCGCGGCCCAUCUUUGGCUUGUCGUCUAAUUAUAAAUGCAUGACGAGGGAGGAGAGGCAGCAGAGAGACCUCGAUCAGCAGAUCGCCCCCCGCCGGAGACUCAGAGAGCCUCAGACGGUUGCGAGGGAGGAGGAGCCUGAUGUCUUUGGGCCCCAGCUCAGCUCAGGAGGACAGACUCCUCGCAGAGAUCUGGAGAAAGUGUUAACAGGAGAGGAGAAGGCGUUGCGGCCUGGUGACCCCGGUUCUGUGCGAGAGCGCGUGUGCCGAUGCCCUCCAAUAAAGACUACGUGGUGCGACCCAAGUGGAACGUGGAGACGGAUUCAAACCGGAGAGGCUGUAAGAAAGCCAUCAGUCUUCUGGAGAAACACAAGCGGCGUUUCCAGGAGCAGAGGAAGCAGCGGCGUGUUCAGGGAGCAGUGAAGAUCAGCGUGGAGGGAAACCGCAUGCCCCUGUAGCUCUCCCCCGGACCUGCAGGGGGCAGGUCCUGUAAGAAAGAGUUUAUCACGUGUAGAUAAACAGAUGCGACGCUUCGCUGAUAUCCGCCGCCUCACGAAGACGGGUCACGCGGUCAAGAUCAGCGUCGAGGGCAACCGCAUGCCUCUCUGAUUCCUCGUCCGCAUC